rnacentral:rRNA from 1 species
UGUAUAAUGGGUCAGCGACUUAUAUUCUGUAGCAAGGUUAACCGAAUAGGGGAGCCGAAGGGAAACCGAGUCUUAACUGGGCGUUAAGUUGCAGGGUAUAGACCCGAAACCCGGUGAUCUAGCCAUGGGCAGGUUGAAGGUUGGGUAACACUAACUGGAGGACCGAACCGACUAAUGUUGAAAAAUUAGCGGAUGACUUGUGGCUGGGGGUGAAAGGCCAAUCAAACCGGGAGAUAGCUGGUUCUCCCCGAAAGCUAUUUAGGUAGCGCCUCGUGAAUUCAUCUCCGGGGGUAGAGCACUGUUUCGGCAAGGGGGUCAUCCCGACUUACCAACCCGAUGCAAACUGCGAAUACCGGAGAAUGUUAUCACGGGAGACACACGGCGGGUGCUAACGUCCGUCGUGAAGAGGGAAACAACCCAGACCGCCAGCUAAGGUCCCAAAGUCAUGGUUAAGUGGGAAACGAUGUGGGAAGGCCCAGACAGCCAGGAUGUUGGCUUAGAAGCAGCCAUCAUUUAAAGAAAGCGUAAUAGCUCACUGGUCGAGUCGGCCUGCGCGGAAGAUGUAACGGGGCUAAACCAUGCACCGAAGCUGCGGCAGCGACGCUUAUGCGUUGUUGGGUAGGGGAGCGUUCUGUAAGCCUGCGAAGGUGUGCUGUGAGGCAUGCUGGAGGUAUCAGAAG